CCUCUCCUUGUUUAGGCACUUCUAUACCUUCAAGCGCCAUCCUUCGAUGAAGGACUGGUGGUACUUCUCCCCCCAGUUCGGCAAGAAGGGGUUGCUGAAAGGCGCCCCUUCUUCGAUCCAUAAUUGGAAGGGGAAAUACCUCUUCGUCCACUGCCCGACCCUGAGACUGGGCCUGCCCCCUUGGGGCUCUCUGAGGGAUUCUGUCCGUCGGGCGCCCAACCUGGGGGAGGACGACCUCC
rnacentral:lncRNA from 1 species